rnacentral:misc_RNA from 1 species
GAAAUGCGAUAAGUAGUGUGAAUUGCAGAAUUCAGUGAAUCAUCGAAUCUUUGAACGCACAUUGCGCCCCUUGGUAUUCCAUGGGGCAUGCCUGUUCGAGCGUCAUUUGUACCCUCAAGCUCUGCUUGGUGUUGGGUGUUUGUCCCGUCUCCGCGCGUGGACUCGCCCCAAAGUGAUUGGCAGCCGGCGUACUGGUCCCGGAGCGCAGCACAUGUCGCGCAAACGAGUGCCUUGGUACGGCGGCGUUCAUAAGCCCCUCUCUCACGCUCUUGACCUCGGAUCAGGUAGGGAUACCCGCUGAACUUAAGC